GUCAGCUGAUGGGCUGCCUGCCGAGGAGGCCGCCGCCGUCGCCGCGCGAACAUGGCGGCCGAAAUCCACUCCAGGCCGCAGAGCAGUCGCCCGGUGCUGCUGAGCAAGAUCGAGGGGCACCAGGACGCCGUCACGGCCGCGCUGCUCAUCCCCAAGGAGGACGGCGUGAUCACGGCCAGCGAGGACAGAACCAUCCGGGUAUGGCUGAAAAGAGACAGUGGUCAAUACUGGCCCAGCAUUUACCACACAAUGGCCGCUCCUUGCUCUGCUAUGGCUUACCAUCAUGACAGCAGACGGAUAUUUGUGGGCCAGGAUAAUGGAGCCGUAAUGGAAUUUCACGUUUCUGAAGAUUUUAAUAAAAUGAACUUUAUCAAGACCUACCCAGCUCAUCAGAACCGGGUGUCUGCAAUUAUCUUCAGCUUGGCCACAGAGUGGGUGAUCAGUACCGGCCACGACAAGUGUGUGAGCUGGAUGUGCACGCGGAGUGGGAACAUGCUCGGGAGGCACUUCCUCACGUCCUGGGCUUCGUGUCUGCAGUAUCCUUCAGAGCCACGGACCUCUCCUUCCCCUGGCCUCUGCUUCUCAGUGUUUGGUUCUGAAUCUCAUCCCAAAUUGCUAACUGAGAUCUAAAGACUGAAUGAAACCUAUUUAAGUUUGUGCAAAAGUAAUUGCAUUUUUUUUUUUACCAUGGAAAGUAAUUGCAAAAAUUGCAAUUACUUUUGCACCAACCUAAUACAUAUUUCACUGAAAAUCCGAGAACUUCCGUAAGUUUGCUGUAAAUUGGGUUUAUUAAAAAUAAUGAAAUGAAUUGUUCUGUGCUGGGAGGUGCUAUAGGUUUUUAAUUCAAAAUUGUGGAAAACCCAAGCCC
rnacentral:sRNA from 1 species